rnacentral:rRNA from 1 species
GCUUUAGGNGAGGCAGCAGUGGGGAAAUAUUGCCAAUGGGCGCAAGCUUGAUGCAAGCCAUNCCGGGUGUAUAAAGAAGGCCUUCGGGGUUGUAAAGUACUUUCAGCAGUGAGGAAGGUGGUGUCGUUAAUAGCGGCAUCAUUUGACGUUAGCUGCAGAAGAAGCACCGGCAUAACUCCGUGCCAGCAGCCGCGGUAAUACGGAGGGUGCGAGCGUUAAUCGGAAUUACUGGGCGUAAAGCGCAUGCAGGUGGUUUGUUAAGUCAGAUGUGAAAGCCCGGGGCUCAACCUCGGAAUUGCAUUUGAAACUGGCAGACUAGAGUACUGUAGAGGGGGGUAGAAUUUCAGGUGUAGCGGUGAAAUGCGUAGAGAUUUGAAGGAAUACCGGUGGCGAAGGCGGCCCCCUGGACAGAUACUGACACUCAGAUGCGAAAGCGUGGGGAGCAAACAGGAUUAGAUACCCUGGUAGUCCACGCCGUAAACGAUGUCUACUUGGAGGUUGGGCCUUGAGCCGUGGCUUUCGCGAGCUAACGCGUUAAGAGACCGCCUAAGAGUACGUCGCAAGAU